rnacentral:tRNA from 1 species
GUGUCCAGGGAUGGGAAUCGAACCCACAGUGUUCCGCUUACCGGGCAGAUGCCAUGUCCACUAGGAUAAUGGA